rnacentral:rRNA from 1 species
UACGUAGGGCGCGAGCGUUGUCCGGAUUUAUUGGGCGUAAAGAGCUCGUAGGCGGCUUGUCGCGUCGGCUGUGAAAACCCGCGGCUCAACUGUGGGCUUGCAGUCGAUACGGGCAGGCUGGAGUUCGGUAGGGGAGACUGGAAUUCCUGGUGUAGCGGUGAAAUGCGCAGAUAUCAGGAGGAACACCGGUGGCGAAGGCGGGUCUCUGGGCCGAUACUGACGCUGAGGAGCGAAAGCGUGGGGAGCGAACAGG